CCUACGGGAGGCAGCAGUGGGGAAUAUUGGGCAAUGGGCGCAAGCCUGACCCAGCAACGCCGCGUGAAGGAAGAAGUCUUUCGGGUUGUAAACUUCUUUUCUCAGGGACGAAGAAAGUGACGGUACCUGAGGAAUAAGCCACUGCUAACUACGUGCCAGCAGCCGCGGUAAUACGUAGGUGGCCAGCGUUAGCCGGAUGUAGUGGGUGUAAAGGCCGUGUAGGCGGGGGCGCAAGUCAGAUGUGAAAACUCAGGGCUCAACCCUGAGCCUGCAUUUGAAACUGUGUUUCUUGAGUGCUGGGGAGGCAAGCGGAAUUCCGUGUGUAGCGGUGAAAUGCGUAGAUAUACGGAGGAACACCAGUGGCGAAGGCGGAUUGCUGGACAGUAACUGACGCUGAGGCGCGAAAGCGUGGGGAGCAAACAGGAUUAGAUACCCUUGUAGUC
rnacentral:rRNA from 1 species